rnacentral:rRNA from 1 species
UUUUUCCUACGGGAGGCAGCAGUGGGGAAUAUUGCACAAUGGGGGAAACCCUGAUGCAGCGACGCCGCGUGAAGGAAGAAGUAUUUCGGUAUGUAAACUUCUAUCAGCAGGGAAGAAAAUGACGGUACCUGACUAAGAAGCCCCGGCUAACUACGUGCCAGCAGCCGCGGUAAUACGUAGGGGGCAAGCGUUAUCCGGAUUUAUUGGGUGUAAAGGGCGUGUAGGCGGGAAUGCAAGUCAGAUGUGAAAACUAUGGGCUCAACCCAUAGCCUGCAUUUGAAACUGUAUUUCUUGAUUGCUGGGGG